rnacentral:rRNA from 1 species
UACGGGGGGGGCAAGCGUUGUUCGGAAUUACUGGGCGUAAAGGGCUCGUAGGUGGCCAACUAAGUCAGACGUGAAAUCCCCCGGCUUAACCUGGGAACUGCGUCUGAUACUGGAAGGCUUGAGUAUGGGAGAGGGAUGUAGAAUUCCAGGUGUAGCGGUGAAAUGCGUAGAUAUCUGGAGGAAUACCGGUGGCGAAGGCGGCAUCCUGGACCAUUACUGACGCUGAGGCGCGAAAGCUAGGGGAGCAAACGGG